ensembl:lncRNA
GUGGUUGUAUUAUGAUUGUGUUGUGGUUGUGUCGUGGUUGUGUUGUGGUUAUAUCAUGGUUGUGUUAUGGUUAUAUCAUGGUUGUGUUGUGGUUACUACCUGGUGUGGGUAGGCGUCUCCAGAACCCAACAGUCUCUUGUUUUGGUCAAACAGCAUCCAGAGCUGAGAGUCAAACUCUGAUUCAUACAACUGGUCACACAUUACUGGACAGCUGGGGGUCACCUCUCCUGACUUAGGCUGGGGAGAGAGGUGGAGAGGUAGAGAGGUCAGACACACAGUACUGGACAGCUGGGGAGAGAGGUAGAGAGGUAGAGAGGUCAGACACACAGUACUGGACAGCUGGGGAGAGAGGUAGAGAGGUCAGACAGUACUGGACAGCUGGGGAGAGAGGUAGAGAGGUCAGACUGUACUGGACAGCUAGGGAGAGAGGUAGAGAGGUCACACACACCAAACAGAGGUGUAUAAUACAACCUAGACACUCUCACCUGGUGGAAGCUGUAGGUGAGGAUGAUUUCGUAGAGCUGUCUGUUGUUGGGGAGGACGUCUCUGUGACCCAGAGCCUUGAUCUUAGAACUCAGAGGUCUGGAAGAAGCAGGAAACAGACAGUUAGAUGGGAUGCUUGGGGAUAGAUGCUGUGGGUUAGACUGGGUACACUGAGACGAUCUGUCAG